UACGUAGGGCGCAAGCGUUGUCCGGAAUUAUUGGGCGUAAAGAGCUCGUAGGCGGCCUGUUACGUCUGCUGUGAAAUCCCGGGGCUUAACCCCGGGCGUGCAGUGGAUACGGGCAGGCUGGAGGCAGGCAGGGGAGAACGGAAUUCCCGGUGUAGCGGUGAAAUGCGCAGAUAUCGGGAGGAACACCUGUGGUGUAGACAGCUUACUGGACCAUUUCUGACGCUGAGACACGAAAGCGUGGGUAGCAAACAGG
rnacentral:rRNA from 1 species